AUGGCGAUUGUCUCGCCAUCUACUGAUUGUCUAGCACUCCUCACCUUUCUCAUCUGCCUCCUCCGUUGUUGCGAGGCGGGAUAUGAUGUCGGGGUCUACAACCCAAUAAUCUUGAUCCCAGGUAUCAGUUGCCCCAACCUGGAGGCGCGGCUGACUGAUGCCUACGUGCCGUCACUGCCCCACUGCGGUGCGCUCAAGGGGAAAGGGUGGUUCUCAUUGUGGAACAACACAUCUGACCUGGUCCGCCACAACUAUGUGUCGUGCUUCGAGGAGCAGAUGUGCCUCGUCUAUGACUCUGCCCUCAAAGACUACCGGAACCUACCCGGUGUCGAGACGCAUGUGCCAGACUUCGGCUCCGCCCAUGGAUUCACCUCAAAGAACCUCGAUUCGAGCCGUAAGGGAUUUUGCAUGACAAGGGUCCUCGAAGAGCUUCAGUUGCUUGGGUAUCGUGACGGAGAUACCCUUUUCGGAGCUCCCUAUGACCCACGGCAUGCUCCGCCACUGCCAGGCCAGCCAUCUCAAGUGUUCUCGGACUACUUUGCCCGUUUCAAGGUUCUGGUGGAGCAUGCAAGCAAGAAGAACCAGGACAAACUGGUCAUCCUCGUCGCACACAGCUUUGGUGGCAUGGCCACCCUCAAGUUCAUUAAUUGGACUCCCAUAACAUGGAGGAAGAAAUUCAUCAAGCACCUGGUCCUCAUAUCGCCUACACUUCCGGGAGGCUUUAUGGAGGCGCUCACGAACCUCGCCUCAGGACCGAAACCGCUCGUUGUCCCGACAAUUCCGCGCUUGAGUUUGCGGCCAAUGUGGAGAACCUUUGCGAGUGCCCUUUUAUUCCUCCCGUCUUCCCCGGUUUUUGGUCACAUGCCGCUUGUGAUUACCAAAAACAAGAACUACUCGGCGUAUGACUACAAGGACUUACUUCCGGCAAUCGGUUUGAAAACCGAGGUGGUGGAACGGGUGCUUUCGAUGAAGCUGAGAGUUGAUGCACCGAUGGUGCCAACAACAUACCUCAACGGUGUCGGCGUGCAGACGCCGGAGCAAGCAGUAUACUGGGAUGGUAACUUCAAUGUAGCUCCCAAGAACGUAUAUGGCGAUGGAGACGGGGUUAUGAAUUUGGACGCCGAGCUCUACCACCCGGUAAUCUUGGUCCCUGGUUUCACUUGCCCCAACGUGGAGGCGCGGCUGACCGACGCCUAUGUGCCGUCGGUGCCCCGCUGCGGCGAGCUCAAGGGGAAGGGGUGGUUCCCGCUGUGGAAAAACACCACAGACCUGGUCCGGCAGGACUACGUGCCGUGCUUCGAGGAGCAGAUGCGCCUCAUCUAUGAUCCCACCCUCAACGACUACCGGAACUUGCCCGGCGUCGAGACGCGCAUGCCGGACUUCGGCUCCGCCCACGGGUUCACCUCCAAGAACGAUUCGAGCCGUAUCCCAACUUGUCUAGCAAGGGUCCGCGAAGAGCUUGAGUUGCUUGGGUAUCGUGAUGGUGAUACCUUUUUUGGAGCUCCCUACGACCCACGGCACGCUCCACCGCUGCCGGGCCAGCCAUCUCAGGUGUACUCCGACUAUUUUGCUUGUGCGAGCGAGAAGAAUCAAAACAAGCCGGUCAUCCUCGUUGCGCACAGCUUUGGUGGCAAGGUCAUCCUCGGGUUCGUCAACUCGACUCCCGUGGCAUGGAGGAAGAAAUUCAUCAAGCACCUGGUCCUCGUAUCGCCCACACCUCCAGAAGGUUUCCUGGGGGUGCUUGUGAGCCUCACCUCGGGACCGUCUUUCCUUGUCCCAUCGGUUCCGCCGCUGCUUCUACGGCAAAUGUGGAGAACCUUAGCGAGCACCCUUUUAUCCCUCCCAUCUCCCAUGGCAUUUGGUCACAGGCCAAUUGUGAUCACCAACCACAAGAACUACUCAGCAUAUGACUACAAGGACUUCCUCACGGCACUCGGUUUGAACACCGAGGUCGUGAAACGAGUGCUUUCUAUGAAGCUGGGAAUUGACCAACCGAUGGUGCCGACUACAUACCUCAAUGGCAUCGGCGUCAAAACGCCAGAGCAGGUGGUGUACCGGGAUGGUAACUUCGACAUGGCUCCCGAGAAGGUAUACGGCGAUGGAGACGGGACCAUGAAUUUGUUUAGCGUGCUUGCAUUUGUGAAGGAGCUGAGUAGGCAACAAGAAGCUAACAUACCCUUCAAGUUCGUGGAGAUUGCUAAUGCUACACACUUCGAUAUUGUUGUUCAGGAGCAUUCGCUCAAGAAGGUCAUGGAUGUAAUUCUAGAAGCAAAUCGCUGA
rnacentral:rRNA from 1 species